rnacentral:rRNA from 1 species
CAGCAGCCGCGGGAAUACGUAGGGUGCAAGCGUUAAUCGGAAUUACUGGGCGUAAAGCGUGCGCAGGCGGUUAUAUAAGACAGAUGUGAAAUCCCCGGGCUCAACCUGGGAACUGCAUUUGUGACUGUAUAGCUAGAGUACGGCAGAGGGGGAUGGAAUUCCGCGUGUAGCAGUGAAAUGCGUAGAUAUGCGGAGGAACACCGAUGGCGAAGGCAAUCCCCUGGGCCUGUACUGACGCUCAUGCACGAAAGCGUGGGGAGCAAACAGGAUUAGAUACCCCUGUAGUCCCUGUCUCUUAUAA